rnacentral:rRNA from 1 species
GAUGAACGCUAGCUACAGGCUUAACACAUGCAAGUCGAGGGGUAGCAGGGUAGCAAUACCGCUGACGACCGGCGCACGGGUGAGUAACACGUAUCCAACCUACCCAUAACUCGGGGAUAGCCUUUCGAAAGAAAGAUUAAUACCCGAUAGUACUUAACAAAGGCAUCUUUGAUAAGUUAAAGAUUUAUUGGUUAUGGAUGGGGAUGCGUUCCAUUAGAUAGUUGGUGAGGUAACGGCUCACCAAGUCUUCGAUGGAUAGGGGUUCUGAGAGGAAGGUCCCCCACAUUAGUACUGAGACAAGGACCAAACUCCUACGGGAGGCAGCAGUGAGGAAUAUUGGUCAAUGGGCGAGAGCCUGAACCAGCCAAGUAGCGUGAAGGAUGAAGGUCCUAUGGAUUGUAAACUUCUUUUAUAGUAGAAUAAAGUGAUCCACGUGUGGAUUUUUGUAUGUAUACUAUGAAUAAGGAUCGGCUAACUCCGUGCCAGCAGCAGCCGCCG